CCUACGGGAGGCAGCAGUGGGGAAUAUUGGACAAUGGGGGGAACCCUGAUCCAGCCAUGCCGCGUGUGUGAAGAAGGCCCUCGGGUUGUAUAGCACUUUCAGUGAGGAAGAACGCCUGGUGGUUAAUACCCAUCAGGAAAGACAUCACUCACAGAAGAAGCACCGGCUAACUCCGUGCCAGCAGCCGCGGUAAUACGGAGGGUGCGAGCGUUAAUCGGAAUUACUGGGCGUAAAGCGCGCGUAGGUGGCUUGAUAAGCCGGUUGUGAAAGCCCCGGGCUCAACCUGGGAACGGCAUCCGGAACUGUCAAGCUAGAGUGCAGGAGAGGAAGGUAGAAUUCCCGGUGUAGCGGUGAAAUGCGUAGAGAUCGGGAGGAAUACCAGUGGCGAAGGCGGCCUUCUGGACUGACACUGACACUGAGGUGCGAAAGCGUGGGUAGCAAACAGGAUUAGAUACCCCAGUAGUC
rnacentral:rRNA from 1 species